AAAGAUAAUAUUAAUAAAAUAAUAAAUAAUGAAAAAAUUCUUAAAUAUUUAAUGGGGGUUAAAGUAUUUAUAGAAAAAAAAUUUUCAAGUUUAUAGUGAAUUAUGUAUUGUGAAAGAAUUAUGAAAUAAUUUAAAUAUUAAUUUAUAAGAAAGUAAUUUUCAUUUAGUGUAUCUUGUGUAUCAGAGUUUAUUAAAAAAAUUUUUUUUAUAAAAAAAUUUCGAAUUAAAAAGAGUUAAUUAAGUAAUAAAUAUAUUGUUUCAUAAAUAUUUUAAAUAAUUAAUUAGAAAUGAAAUGUUAAUCGUUUUUUAAUAUAUCUAAUUUUUUUAGAAAAAAAUUUAAUUUUAAUUUUAAAAUAUUAAAUAAUUAUUUAUAAUAUAAUAGAUAAAUAUAAUUAUUUAAUUUUAAUUUUUAAUAUUUUAGGGGAUAAGCUUUAAAAUAUAAUUUUAUAAAUAUAAAUAUUUUAUAAUUAAAAUUUUUAUAAUUUAUAUUGUUAAGAAAUUAUAAUUUAUUAUAAAUAAUUUUAUUAAAGAAAAAAAAUUUAAUUUUAUUUUAAAUUUUUAUAAAAAUAUAUAAUUUAAUGGGGGAAUUUUAGAAAUAAUGAUAAAAUUAGUAUAUAAAAGUAAAUAAAAAUUUAAUUUUAAUAAAUAUUAUAAAAGAAUUCGGCAAAUAUUUAUAUUCACCUGUUUAUCAAAAACAUGUCUUUUUGAAUAAAUAAUUUAAAGUCUAAUCUGCCCACUGAUAAUAUAUUGAAGGGCUGCAGUAAUUUGACUGUACAAAGGUAGCAUAAUCAUUAGUCUUUUAAUUGGUGACUUGUAUGAAGGAUUGGAUGAGAUAUAAACUGUUUUUAUAAUAAAUUUAGAAUUUAAUUUUUUCAUUAAAAAGUGAAAAUAGAUUUAAAAGACGAGAAGACCCUAUAGAGUUUAAUUUUUAAUAAAAUUGGGAUUUAUUUAUUAGAGGUUAAAUUUAAUUUUUGAAAAAAUUUUAUUGGGGUGAUAAAAAAAUUUAAUAAACUUUUUUUUUAAUUUAACAUUAAUAAGUGAAUUAAUGAUCCAUUAAUUAUGAUUAAAAGAAAAAAUUACCUUAGGGAUAACAGCGUAAUUUUUUCUUUUAGUUCAAAUAAAAGAAAGAGUUUGCGACCUCGAUGUUGGAUUAAGAUAAAAUUUAAAUGCAAAAGUUUAAAAUUUUGAUCUGUUCGAUCAUUAAAAUCUUACAUGAUCUGAGUUCAAACCGGUGUGAGCCAGGUUGGUUUCUAUCUUUAAAUAUAAUAGAUAUUUUAGUACGAAAGGAUCAAAUAUUAAAAAUAAUUUUAGUUUAUGAAUUUUAUUAAUUAAAUAUUAAUAAUAUAUAUAUAUAUAUAAUUAAUUUAAAUAUUAUUUUAUUUAAUAGAUAAUUU
rnacentral:rRNA from 1 species